AACUGGUGCAUAAAGUUGCUUUGUAGUAGGCAAUGAAGAGGCUCGGUGUAAAGGUAAUACAUUUAGUGAAGUAGUUUUAAAUUGACACGGAAUAAAACAAUCCACUGCAGGCAGAGUGAGUACGUGCUAGCAGCAACAACAUACACUUCUUCUUCUCCUCCCAGGAACCGUAUGCCCCAAAUAUGCCAUCUAGUGGCGCAGAAUACAAUAAGGUUUUGUACAUAAUUAAAUCUGCGCCAGUGUAGAGUAUCCAGCACAAUAAUUUUAACAUUAGGUAAUUUUGGCAUAUUCGGCAACGCUUAUUUUUCUUUUCUUUUAUCUCAAAGGCGAGAGAGCAGCCUGCGAGUCCUCAGUAGAACAUGUUCUCUACGCAGGAUCUGAUAUCACCAAGGAUGAACGUUUUAGCCGGCCAAUCAGAAGUCAGCAGCAAGAGAAGAGCCCGCCUACUCAUGAAGUCGUACACCUGAAGGUCCAGCGAGUGGGGUUGGUAUCAGUGUGUAGGCCUAGUGGAUCCACACCGUGACCUAAGUGCACUGGACCCUGUUGAUAUGCAGCCACCUCAGCUUCAUGAAGAAACGGCAAGAUUCAGAUGACUACACCGUUUCAGAUCUACUCAUCUCGCUCACCUGUCCACCUGGAUGAAGGAUCACACUCUGCAGCUGAACAUGUCCAAAACCAAGCUCCCAAUCAAAUUGUUCUAGGUUAAUCUCUAACAACAACCUUUUUCUUCCUGCA